rnacentral:lncRNA from 1 species
CUAAAAAUGAGUUAAUUUGCAAAUAAUAAUUUACUACUAGUCUUACUGUAUGUUUAAUUGUAAAUAUUUUAUAUGAUCCCUUUAAUGGAAAUUUUUUUUUAACUUAUUUUAAUGUGACUUUGUGCUGCACAGUGAGAUGGACAAAUCAGUAGUUUUGGCUGUUCCUUUGCUUAUUUUUGCAGUAAAAAUCUGUUUUUUAUUGACACGUUGAAUUACAUUAGAACUAAAACUUUUUCUGCUUCUUUUUGGGGUGAAGAAGUCCUUAGUCAGUAUUUUAAAUUCAUUUCAUUUCUAAACAUCUUAUAAAUACUUUGACUAUUUCAUCCUUCUUUUGCUAUGGAAUAGGGAAUAAAGCUCUUCUUGUUGUAUCUCAUCCUGUCACCAGCACUAGUUGAGGUUAACAUAUUGUCUGUCUACUUUUAAUAGAAACAUUCCUCAUGUGUUCUAACAAAUCGCGUAUAUCUGAAUUCUACAUACAAAGCUGUAAUUCCAUUGAGAGUUCGCAGUGACAUUGAUAAAUGAUGUCACCAGAACCCUUUGCUUGAAUUACAAUCUUAAUUAUGUACACCUGGGUUCUUAGUAUUCCUUAUAUUAUUUCUGUCAUAGCACUAUCUUGUCCUAUUCUUACUCUGAUGCUAAUUUGUUUUAUCAGUAGCCAAAGCACUGCAGCUUAGCAAAGCCUGUCCGUGGUGUUUAAAUGACUGUAAAUUUCUUCCUUCUUAUUACUGCUGUUUUUAAAACAGAGCGCAGCAGUAAACAAUAAAGUCAGUUUUUACAUGAAGAUGAUGCAAGGUUUGUAUAAAGUUUUUAGAGUUGUUUUUUUUUUCCACAGUUUUCUUAUUUAGGACUAUCCAGCAUUUCUGACUGCUUCUAGUUGUUUCAUGUCCCCUGAGAAAAGAAGAGCAAAAAGGUUUGGUUACUCAGUUAUUUUUGUGGGAGAGGAAUUCCCAUAUGACUGAAGGUGGGAAACACUGUGUAUGGUAAGCCUGAAAAUGAGAAAUACAAGUUUCUUCUGGUUCUCAUUCUCUUGGGGUUUUUUUCUAUAUUCACCUUGUGAACCUAACCAGGAUUACUUUUGUCACAGAAAAUAUAAAAGACUCGGCUUUGAGUACAUGUGUGGCCAAUGGAAUCCCUUUAAAAAUGAUCAAUCAGGCUGUGGCUUGCUUUGCUCCGGAAGCCCCUUGAAGAGACUGGCUUACAACAAAGGUCUGAGUCAUGCAAGUUAUUGCCUAAAACUUGGAGCUGACUCUGAAAAAAGUGACUCAAAUAAAUAACAAGAUGAAGCACAGACACUGUUAUAAACUGCUGGUGAGAUUUGAAAAAGGUAAGCUCUUCCUGGUUUACUGUUUUACUUUGGUCUUUCUGUUAUUCUCAGUAAAAAAAGUGAGAAACUAGGGGGAAAAUUAUUGCUGGAAACUUAACAUACAUGGCCUACUAGGCAGAUUUUAAUCCACAUAAGGUUCCUUAAAAAGCAGUGAGCCAAUAAACCUAAGUUAAAUAUUUGGAGUCCA